rnacentral:rRNA from 1 species
UACGUAGGGUCCGAGCGUUGUCCGGAAUUACUGGGCGUAAAGAGCUCGUAGGUGGUUUGUCGCGUUGUUCGUGAAAACUCACAGCUCAACUGUGGGCGUGCGGGCGAUACGGGCAGACUUGAGUACUGCAGGGGAGACUGGAAUUCCUGGUGUAGCGGUGGAAUGCGCAGAUAUCAGGAGGAACACCGGUGGCGAAGGCGGGUCUCUGGGCAGUACCUGACGCUGAGGAGCGAAAGCGUGGGGAGCGAACAGG